rnacentral:lncRNA from 1 species
CAAGAUCAUAUGUUCAUGGUCUUACAGAGGGUAAAGCAGUGGUACGCAGCAGAAGUGUGCAGGUAAGCCUAGCAGCGCGUAUCACUAUCCUUCAGGCAUGUAUCUUUAUUCCGCGAAGAGCAGGUAAGAUCCUCCUCACACUCUCACUUGAUUUGACACUCAUACUCUGUUUUCAUCAAAAUAAGGUGCAUGUGACAUUGGAUCUAUUCCCUUCAGCCAACAAAAGGAUAUGGAAAAUUGACGUAGAAUCUGGAGUUGUGCUUCAUGUGUGCCAAGACGGUGAACUCUGUGAGUUCAGUUGAAGAGCUUGGGUGUCAUAUAAUUUAAUUCCAAGUAGAGAGUAACUCCCGG